ensembl:snRNA U6 U6 spliceosomal RNA
GUGCUCACUUCAGCAGCACAUACAUUAAAACUGGAAUGAUGCAGAGAAGACUAGCAUGGUCCCUGUUCAAGGAUGACACGCAAAUUGGUGAAGCGUUCCAUAUUUUU